GAUGAACGCUAGCGGCAGGCCUAAUACAUGCAAGUCGAACGCUCAGUAGCAAUACUGGGAGUGGCGCACGGUGCGUAACGCGUACACAAUCUACCUCUAAGCGGGGGACACCUCCUGGAAACGGGGAUUAAUACCGCAUAAUAUGCCGAGGUCGCAUGACUUUGGUAUUAAAGCAGCAAUGCACUUAGAGAUGAGUGUGCGUCCCAUUAGGUAGUUGGUGAGGUAACGGCUCACCAAGCCUAUGAUGGGUAGCCGGUCUGAGAGGAUGGUCGGCCACACGGGCACUGAGACACGGGCCCGACUUCCUACGGGAGGCAGCAGUAAGGAAUAUGGUCAAUGGUGGAAACACUGAACCAGCCAUGCCGCG
rnacentral:rRNA from 1 species